CCUACGGGGGGCAGCAGUGAGGAAUAUUGGUCAAUGGCCGAGAGGCUGAACCAGCCAAGUCGCGUGAGGGAGGACGGCCCUACGGGUUGUAAACCUCUUUUGUCAGGGAGCAAGGGACAGGUCGUGACCUGUUGUGAGAGUACCUGAAGAAAAAGCAUCGGCUAACUCCGUGCCAGCAGCCGCGGUAAUACGGAGGAUGCGAGCGUUAUCCGGAUUUAUUGGGUUUAAAGGGUGCGCAGGCGGAGGCACAAGUCAGCGGUAAAAUCGCGGGGCUCAACCCCGCUCCGCCGUUGAAACUGUGUCCCUUGAGUGCGCGAAGGGUAGGCGGAAUGCGUGGUGUAGCGGUGAAAUGCAUAGAUAUCACGCAGAACUCCGAUCGCGAAGGCAGCCUACCGGCGCGCUACUGACGCUCAUGCACGAAAGCGUGGGUAU
rnacentral:rRNA from 1 species